rnacentral:rRNA from 1 species
AUUGAACGCUGGCGGCAGGCCUAACACAUGCAAGUCGAACGAGAGGCGGAGAGGUGAGAAAUGUCUGGGAAAAUGCGUGAUGGAGAGGGAUAACUCCUGGAAAAGGUAUCUAAAACCGCACACCAUAAGAUGUGCCCAGAUGGGGUUAGCUCGUAGGUGGGGUAACGGCUCACCUAGGCGACGAUCCCUAGCUGGUCUGAGAGGAUGACCAGCCACACUGGAACUGAGACACGGUCCAGACUCCUACGGGAGGCAGCAGUGGGGAAUAUUGCACAAUGGGCGCAAGCCUGAUGCAGCCAUGCCGCGUGUGUGAAGAAGGCCUUCGGGUUGUAAAGCACUUUCAGCGGGGAGGCGUUACCCGCAGAAGAAGCACCGGCUAACUCCGUGCCAGCAGCCGCGGUAAUAC